GUCUAUGGCCAUGCCACCUGAAUGUGCCCGAUCUCCCUGAAUGUUCCAGGUCUCGUCUGAUCUUAGAAGCUAAGCAGAGUCAGACUUGGUUAGUACUUGGAUGGGAGACCACCUAGGAAUAUCAGGUGCUGUAGGCA
ensembl:rRNA 5S_rRNA 5S ribosomal RNA